rnacentral:rRNA from 1 species
GACGAACGCUGGCGGCGUGCUUAACACAUGCAAGUCGAACGGAAAGACCCUGCUUUUGUGGGGUGCUCGAGUGGCGAACGGGUGAGUAACACGUGAGUAACCUGCCCUUGACUUUGGGAUAACUUCAGGAAACUGGGGCUAAUACCGGAUAGGAGCUCCUGCUGCAUGGUGGGGGUUGGAAAGUUUCGGCGGUUGGGGAUGGACUCGCGGCUUAUCAGCUUGUUGGUGGGGUAGUGGCUUACCAAGGCUUUGACGGGUAGCCGGCCUGAGAGGGUGACCGGCCACAUUGGGACUGGGAUACGGCCCAGGCUCCUACGGGAGGCAGCAGUGGGGAAUAUUGCCAAAUGGGCGGAAGCCUGAUACAGCACCGCCGCGUGCGGAAUGACGGCUUUCGGGUUGUAAACCGCUUUCGCCUGUGACGAAGCGUGAGUGACGGUAAUGGGUAAAGAAGCACCGGUGACCUACGU